UACAGAGGUGGCAAGCGUUGUUCGGAAUUACUGGGCGUAAAGGGCGCGUAGGCGGUUCGUUAAGUCCUGUGUGAAAUCCCCCGGCUCAACUGAGGAACUGCCUUUGAGACUGUCGAGCUUGAGGCCGGGAGGGGGUAGCGGAAUUCCCAGUGUAGCGGUGAAAUGCGUAGAUAUUGGGAGGAACACCAGUGGCGAAGGCGGCUACCUGGACCGGUUCUGACGCUGAUGCGCGAAAGCGUGGGUAGCAAACAGG
rnacentral:rRNA from 1 species